rnacentral:rRNA from 1 species
GAACACAAUAAAAACAUUUUGUAAAUCUUAGUAAUGUAUCUCGGAAGCUAAGCAGGUUCGGGCCUGGUUAGUACUUGGAUGGGAGACCACCUAGGAAUACCGGGUACUGUAGGCG